GAUGAACGCUGGCGGCGUGCUUAACACAUGCAAGUCGAACGGAAAGGCCCAAGCUUGCUUGGGUACUCGAGUGGCGAACGGGUGAGUAACACGUGGGUGAUCUGCCCUGCACUUCGGGAUAAGCCUGGGAAACUGGGUCUAAUACCGGAUAGGACGAUGGUUUGGAUGCCAUUGUGGAAAGUUUUUUCGGUGUUGGAUGAGCUCGCGGCCUAUCAGCUUUUUGGUGGGGGAAUGGCCUAACAAGGCGUCGACGGGUAGCUGGCCUGGGAGGGUGUACGGCCACAUUGGGACUGAGAGACGGCCCAGACUCCUCCGGGAGGCAGAAGUGGGGAAUAUUGCACAAUGGGCGCAAGCCUGAUGCAGCGACGCCGCGUGGGGGAUGACGGCCUUCGGGUUGUAAACUCCUUUCGCUAGGGACGAAGCGUUUUUGUGACGGUACCUGGAGAAGAAGCACCGGCUAACUACGUG
rnacentral:rRNA from 1 species